rnacentral:rRNA from 1 species
UCGAGAAUCAUUCACAAUGGGGGAAACCCUGAUGGUGCGACGCCGCGUGGGGGAUGAAGGUCUUCGGAUUGUAAACCCCUGUCAUUUGUGAACAACCGUUUGAAUUUAAUAGAUUCAAACCUGAUAGUAGCAAAAGAGGAAGGGACGGCUAACUCAGUGCCAGCAGCCGCGGUAAUACUGAGGUCCCAAGCGUUGUUCGGAUUUACUGGGCGUAAAGGGUGCGUAGGUGGCCAGGAAAGUUUGAUGUGAAAGCCCCGAGCUCAACUCGGGAACUGCAUUGGAUACUACUUGGCUUGAGGAUCGGAGGGGAGACUGGAAUUCUCGGUGUAGCAGUGAAAUGCGUAGAUAUCGAGAGGAACACCAGUGGCGAAGGCGAGUCUCUGGACGAUUCCUGACACUGAGGCACGAAAGCUAGGGGAGCAAACAGG